rnacentral:lncRNA from 1 species
AUGAUACAUUUUCUUAUUUUUAAUACAUUUUUGACGAUACUGCAGAUUCCCAUCCAGUGUUUGGACAAUCCUGAUUCUAAUCCUGUGCUACCAUUUCAUACCCAUUCUGAGAAUGCUACUCAGUUAUUCACCAUCCAGACUUCAAGAGGAGGACGACACAGGUGUACUGGAGACGCCUACCCAUUUACACUUCUGACAAUGGGCCAGCAGCAUGAGUUUUUAUUUUAUUGUGCAAAUACAAUUUUGCAUGUACUGUAUGUACUGUGUAUGACAACACCUUAUAUGUAUAUAAAUGUAUAAUAAAAUGUACACUGGUUUUUAAUUCAUGUUAUCCUUGAUUAAUUUCUAGAAAAGUGUUACAUGUAUGUACGUUUUAACAUAUCGCUUGCACAAAAUAAAAUCCCCACCAUGAUGUACUUGUCUAUAUACUGUAAUAGCAAUUUAAAUGUCUACUGUUUUAAUGAUAUAUAAGUUUCCUAUGUUAAACAAGCCAACUGCCAUUUGAUGCUAACAUAGGAGUGUCGGUUGGAUCAAACCAGGGCCAACUGCCAUUUCAUGUUAAUACAAGACAGACGCAUCCUGAUUAGACUGAUUAACUAACGAAAGACAGGACACAGCCAAAUCCUGAUCAAACUGAUUAACUCACUGAACUCACUGUAUCACUCAAUAUUCUGUUUAUCACUCAAUAUUCUGUUUACGUAACUAUUACCUUACAAGCAUCAAAGGGCACUUUGGCUCGGCCCCUGUGGUUUUUUCAUCACCUCGUCUCCAAACUAAAUUGUAUAAAUUGCUUGUGUCUUCUUCCAACCUGUGCUCUCCUACAGACUACGCUGUGUUCUGUAGAACUGGUGCCUUUGAGAUCUCAAAUUAAUGCACA